AUUGAACGCUGGCGGCAGGCCUAACACAUGCAAGUCGAACGAGUGGCGGACGGGUGAGUAAUGUCUGGGAAACUGCCCGACGGAGGGGGAUAACUACUGGAAACGGUAGCUAAUACCGCAUACUAUCGGAUGUGCCCAGAUGGGCUUAGCUUGUAGGUGAGGUAACGGCUCACCUAGGCGACGAGCCCUAGCUGGUCUGAGAGGAUGAACAGCCACACUGGAACGGAGACACGGUCAAGACUCCUACGGGAGGCAGCAGUGGGGAAGAUUGCACAAUGGGCGCAAGCCUGAUGCAGCCAUGCCGCGUGUAGGAAGAAGGCCUUCGGGUUGUAAAGUACUUUCAGCGGGGAGGCGUUACCGGCAGAAGAAGCACCGGCUAACUCCGUGCCAGCAGCCGCGGUAAUUC
rnacentral:rRNA from 1 species